AAAAUCUGCUAUAAAUAAAUUUUCGCUCCUGUCCAAACAGGUCCAUAUCGGGAUUACUACUUGAUCGCAGUCGUCUAAUAUCAACCCUAGCUCAGCCCCGCUCGGCUCAGCUGUAUAUUCUGGACUUGCAUGAUCUGAAAUAGUAAAGAGGGAGAGAGGGAGAGAGAAUUGAUCUGAUCCGGCCAUCCCAAUUGAAGCAUGGAAAGGAUCGUCGGCGGCAAGUUCAAGCUCGGCCGGAAGAUCGGUAGUGGAUCCUUCGGAGAAAUCUUUCUCGCCACGCAUAUCGAUACCUUUGAGAUCGUUGCUGUGAAGAUUGAGAACAAUAAGACUAAGCACCCACAACUCUUAUAUGAAGCCAAGUUAUACAACUUUCUUCAGGGUGGAAGUGGCAUUCCUGGUAUAAAGUGGUCCGGCGUUGAUGGGGAUGACAAUGUCCUAGUAAUUGAUUUGCUGGGGCCAAGUCUUGAGGAUCUCUUUGUCUACUGUGGCAGGAAGUUUUCCUUGAAAACUGUAUUAAUGUUGGCUGAUCAGAUGAUAACAAGAAUUGAGUAUGUGCAUUCUAAAGGGUUUCUUCACAGAGAUAUCAAGCCUGAUAACUUUCUCAUGGGUCUUGGUCGAAAAGCAAAUCAGGUCUACAUCAUUGAUUUUGGUCUUGCAAAAAGAUAUCGUGAUGCAACUACUAACCGGCACAUCCCCUACAGGGAGAAUAAGAAUUUAACAGGGACUGCGCGCUAUGCAAGUUGUAACACUCAUCUUGGAAUUGAGCAGAGCCGACGGGAUGACUUGGAAUCUCUUGGAUAUGUACUUCUAUAUUUCUUGAGAGGAAGCCUUCCAUGGCAGGGUUUGAAAGCUGCCACAAAGAAACAAAAGUAUGACAAAAUAUGUGAGAAGAAGUUGUCUACUCCUAUUGAGGUUUUAUGUAAGUCUCAUCCAGUGGAGUUCGCAUCAUACUUCCAUUACUGCCAUUCAUUGACAUUUGAUCAGCGGCCUGAUUAUGGAUUCUUGAAACGCCUCUUUCGUGAUCUGUUUACGCGUGAAGGGUGUGAAUCCGAUUACAUAUUUGACUGGACUAUCUUAAAAUAUCAGCAGUCACAGUCAAGCAAAGUGCAGCAACGGCCAAUGCCUGCUGAGAGCAGUCGGGCAGUUCAAAUGGACGUAGAAAAACAUCAAGCUGGCAAUAGCGCGCCUUUUUCAGCUGAGAUGGCUGACCGUAUAAGAUCAAACAAUGCUUCGAGUCCUGGCAUCCGCAUGCAAUUUAAAUCGCCUCCAAAUAGGAAUAUGACUUCUGGAAAUCCUCUUGAGAGAAAUGUUUUGAACACUGCACAAAUGCCAUCUACUUCGUUUGCCCCUCCUGGUGUACCAAAAGGCAAUGUUUCAAGGCCUAAUUUAUCAGCUGAAAUCUCAAAUUCUGGUCAUGGACAUGGAGAAAGUACCGGUCCUUCUAGCAGCUGGAUUUCUUCGCUGCGUCGCAUUUCUUCUGCAAAGAAUGUAUGAUCACCAACCGCUCGAUCUGGGUUCUGUGAAUAGAUUGCUGAUGUGUCAGUGCAAACAUAUGGGGGAUUCAGAGGUGCAAUGUUAUCAGAUGGUUACCUGCUUGCAUUAGAUUCAAAUGUGGUUUACUCUUGCAUGCUGACUGUUUCUUGCACUUUGAGACAAUCUGGCGAUGCAUCAUAUAUGCACGAAGGUGCAUGAGAGCAAGUUGAUUGACUGUCUUGUAGAAGAUUAGAGCUUGAUUCGGGCAUUUUCCUCCUCCCUGGAAGCUUGGGUGAAGAUAUCUUUCCUAUGACAAGGGUACACAUAAUCCUUUCACAAAGAUCAGAGCUCGCUUCUGCUGUUGUAUAUAGAUGUAACGAACUAGGUGCUGCAACUAUGUUAAGUUUGAUGUAAAGUAAAUGACGUGCAAAGUGUUCCUCUGCUCAACAGAUUCAUGCAGCUCCCUUGUGCAGUUGGUGGCUGCAAAAAUUAUUUUUUCACUUGCUUCAUGGUUACAAGUUGCUUAUGUUGUAAGCAUUAUUGCUUUUGGUUGUCUUCUGCAACAAAAUGGGGCCAUGAGUUUGCAAGUGGCAAUGAAUGUCACUCAACAAUGGUUAGGAAGCUUAUAUAGGAAAUGCCACUGCCCCUACUUUUUACUACAGGAAUCUGCUAAACAUCGUCUUUUUUAUCAUCAGUGCAGAUAUGGAAGGAAAUCUCAAUCUUAAUUUUUGGCCUCCUGUUAUGGAUUUUACGUCUUGGAAGACAAAAGCGUGCUUUCAAUGUGAUCUGCAGAUGCACAUGGCCGAUUUAUGGCCUCAAAGCUUGUGAUCUGUGGUGCUUCAUUUCCCUGAAUUCCUUUUCUUGGUGUGAAUAAUGUGAUGCACUGGAUUGCUGAAGGUCCUUUCCUCAUGUAUUGAUCGCUAUCGUGGUCUUGUGCUGAUUAGGCUUUGCUAAAAGGUGCAGAAGAUAGAAGGGGAUUAGUACUGAAGAAGCUGGCAGCAGAGGUGGUCCUGAUUGCAGUUUCUUACAUUUGUAUUCACUGAUAUAAUUUCUGAACUAUGAUGAGAGAGCAUGAUAAUACUAUGUGCCAGAGUGGGUAUAUAGUUCAUACUAAAGGUCUGCUGGCAUUCCUUCAUA